CCGUGCUAGACGGGGAGGUAGCGGUUCCUUGUAACCUACAAUCCGCUGUAGUAGGGUUGAUGCUUAGCUGAGGACACCAUUUGUAGAGUCUGCGCCUAUUAAGUGAUGUUGAGAAUUGGGUCUUACGCAAUAGAUACUUGUGAACCUCGUCAGGUCCGGAAGGAAGCAGCGAUAAACUUGACCAUCUAUGUGCCGUAGGGUCGCCUAGUUUGAGUUAACUAAUAGGUUAACGUCUGUAGAUAUCUGUUCGAAGCUAAGUGCACGG
rnacentral:SRP_RNA from 1 species